rnacentral:rRNA from 1 species
GGGUGCGAUCAGACCAGCAAUAAUGCACCGGAUCCCAUCAGAACUCCGAAGUUAAGCUUGCUUGGGCGAGAGCAGUACUAGGAUGGGUGACCUCCUGGGAAGUCCUCGUGUUGCAUCCCUC